UACAUAGGUCCCAAGCGUUGUUCGGAUUCACUGGGCGUAAAGGGUGCGUAGGUGGUGGGGUAAGUCGGAUGUGAAAUCUCCGGGCUCAACCCGGAAAUGGCAUUGGAAACUACCUUGCUGGAGGAUUUGAGGGGGGAUUGGAAUACUUGGUGUAGCAGUGAAAUGCGUAGAUAUCAAGUGGAACACCAGUGGCGAAGGCGAAUCCCUGGAAAAUACCUGACACUGAGGCACGAAAGCUAGGGGAGCAAACAGG
rnacentral:rRNA from 1 species